CCUACGGGAGGCAGCAGUGGGGGAUAUUGCACAAUGGGGGGAACCCUGAUGCAGCGACGCCGCGUGGGUGAAGGAGUAUUUCGGUAUGUAAAGCCCUAUCGGCAGGGAAGAAAUUGGACGGUACCUGACUAAGAAGCCCCGGCUAACUACGUGCCAGCAGCCGCGGUAAUACGUAGGGGGCAAGCGUUAUCCGGAUUCACUGGGUGUAAGGGGAGCGUAGACGGCAGCACAAGUCUGGAGUGAAAUGCCGGGGCUUAACCCCGGAAUUGCUUGGGAAACUGUGCAGCUAGAGUGCAGGAGAGGUAAGUGGAAUUCCUAGUGUAGCGGUGAAAUGCGUAGAUAUUAGGAGGAACACCAGUGGCGAAGGCGGCUUACUGGACUGUAACUGACGUUGAGGCUCGAAAGCGUGGGGAGCAAACAGGAUUAGAUACCCGUGUAGUC
rnacentral:rRNA from 1 species